CACGUAGGGGGCAAGCGUUGUCCGGAUUCAUUGGGCGUAAAGAGCUCGUAGGCGGUUCGAUAAGUCGGGUGUGAAACCUCCAGGCUCAACCUGGAGACGCCACCCGAUACUGUCGUGACUAGAGUCCAGUAGGGGAGAGUGGAAUUCCUGGUGUAGCGGUGAAAUGCGCAGAUAUCAGGAGGAACACCAGCGGCGAAGGCGGCGCUCUGGGCUGGAACUGACGCUGAGGAGCGAAAGCGUGGGGAGCGAACAGG
rnacentral:rRNA from 1 species